CCUACGGGAGGCAGCAGUGGGGAAUAUUGCACAAUGGGGGAAACCCUGAUGCAGCGACGCCGCGUGAGUGAAGAAGUCUUUCGGGUUGUAAACUUCUAUUAAGAGGGAAGAAGAUGACGGUACCUGAUUAAGAAGCCCCGGCUAACUACGUGCCAGCAGCCGCGGUAAUACGUAGGGGGCAAGCGUUAUCCGGAUUUACUGGGUGUAAAGGGAGCGCAGACGGCAGUGCAAGUCUGGAGUGAAAGCCCAGGGCCUAACCACGGAACUGCUUUGGAAACUGUGCAGCUAGAGUACUGGAGGGGUAGGCGGAAUUCCUAGUGUAGCGGUGAAAUGCGUAGAUAUUAGGAGGAACACCAGUGGCGAAGGCGGCCUGCUGGACAGUAACUGACGUUGAGGCUCGAAAGCGUGGGGAGCAAACAGGAUUAGAUACCCUAGUAGUC
rnacentral:rRNA from 1 species